AUGUCCCCCAGAGGUCAGAAUCCUGAGCCAAUGGCUGGCAAGGAGAGUGAGAUUAUACUAAAGACAAGGGCGGAGUCGGCUUUCCCUGUGACCACUGUAGCUGGGGAAGAAAGAUACAAGGGAAACCUUUGCUGUUUUUCAGUUACCCAGGUAAUUGUUUUCAGGUUCCUUUUUUUUUUUUUUUUGGUUGACAAGUUUCAGGGAAUUACAUUCACUUCCUAUGAUGAAAUGGUAACAAACCAAUUAGUGAAAUUGGUGAGCAGGUAAGGGGAGAACCCUACAACAGACAUUUCAAGAGGAAAAGAAGGAGC
rnacentral:lncRNA from 1 species